UUACUGUCCUUCGUCGACAGGGGUUUUAUAUUGAUUACCUUGUUUCCAUCGCUAUAUGUCUGUAAUAUUCCCGAUGCGAUGAAUCUCUUUUAACUCAUUCACCCACUC